AGUCAUCUCAUUAUCGCCUCGGCUACACCUGCAAGUUAACAAGACAUACCACAGUACACGUACAUGUCACAAACU